rnacentral:lncRNA from 1 species
CUGCACUUACAUCCACUGUGAUGUCUCCGAUGAAAACCAAGUCAAGUCCAUUGUCGAAUCAACUAUCAAGAGUUAUGGACAUCUAGACAUCAUGUUCAGCAAUGCAGGAACUGUAAACCGCAACCAACCCCUCUUGGAACUUGACCUGACAUUGAUGGACCGUUUGUUUGCUAUCAAUGUACGUGGCAUGGCAGCAUGUGUGAAACAUGUUGCACGUGCAAUGGUGAAAGGUGGGAAAGGAGGAAGCAUUGUCUGCACUGCGAGUGUUGCAGGAAAAAGGGGGAGUGAUGAUGGGAUGCAAGACUACGUCAUAUCAAAAGGUUGGUUAGAACAGGGAGUUGUGAGUUGGGGAAGUAUGGGAUCCGAAUUAAUUGUGUUUCACCAAGUGCACUUGCUAGUUGCUACACCAUUGUUGUUGGAGUUCUUUGGGAUGAAGGAUAAGGAGAGUGCAGAGGAGGCGAUUUUAGGCAACAAUAGCUUGAAAGGAACAGUGUAAUACCCAAGAAUCUGCAGAUUCAGAUGGAGAAGAAGGUUCAGUUGGUUGAACCAAAUGGGCCGAACCGACCCGAUUUCUUUUUUGACCCGUUUUCAUGUUAUAAAAACCAGAUCUGAUUUUCAGCACGAAUUUUCUUAUUAAAAAUCAAUUAAGAAGCUUAAGAAGAAGAAGAAAAACAUUCUAAAACCUAUGGUUUUGAUUGGGUAUUGCUUGCUUACAUUGUUUUGAUUAAUUGGUGGCUUGGAAUUGGAUUUUCUUUCUUGUUUGUGCAUCUUGGUUGUGUUCAUCUUCAAAGGUAAGUUAUAUUACUUGAUGUUUUCUCUUACUUCUUAGAUUAGGUUGAAGUAACCCCUUGUUAGCAUGUUUAAUUCGUUUAUUAUAAUUGAAUUACAUGAUAAAGUAUGAUUUAGUAAGUAGAACUCAAUAAAGUUACGAUCUUGUUGAUAUUUAACUAUGUAUUAAUGCUGAAAUUUAACUUUAAGAACAUAUUAAUGUAGGAAUUGGUGAUUUAAAACAUGUUUAAUGUUAACUUAAUGUUCCAAAGCAUAAUAAAUGAUUAUAUUGCUUAAUUGUACUUUGUAUGAUGAAUAAAGCAUGAUUAUAUUGAAUUAUUUAUUAAUGCUGAAAUUUAUAUUUCAAAAUAUGUUAUAUUGGGUUUGAAUAUUUGACUUGGUAUUGUAGUGUUUGAUUGAACCCAUUGGUUAUGGACUUUCUUACUUUAGAAUUUCCUGAACUUGACAUCAUACUUGUUUAUGUUGUUCGUCAUAUAUAUUUAUAUGGACGAUGAAUGGAAUAGAAUGAUUGGAUUGAACCAUGUGUUGGAUUAAAUUUGGGCGUGUUAAACAAAUUAACACAGGACCAGUAUGAUGGGGAGACGUCCCAGAGUGUUGUCACAUGACAUAGCUCGAUGAGUGUAUGGCUAUGAUGCGUACGACUUGGUGCUACUGCACAACUUUGUAUAUGAAUUUCAUGGAUUGAAAUUGAUGGAUUUGGAUGGACUUGAUGAUUUGGUUUGAGAUUGAAAUUGAUGGACUUUGAUAGAUUGUGUGAUUUGGUUUGAGAUUGAAAAAUUAUGAUGCAGAUAUUAGAAGAUUUAUAAAGUUGGAUUAGAUUAGUAUUUGUCAUGUUAUUUUUAUUGAUUUUAUAUUAUGUUUAGUUAACCCCUUCGGUGCAGGAGAAGUACGUAUGGGUUCAUUAUGGUCGGCUCAGUUUUUUACAAUCUUCACCGAGGUGGAGAAUUGUAGAAAAGUGAUAUGUGGAGGUUACAAGUAAUAGAUUCCUAUUAGGAAUCGGUUUCCUUAUUUGGCAACAAGUGUGGUGGAAUUCUAUUAGGAUUCAAUAAGACUUUCUAAUCUAUUAGAAAUCUAAGUUGUUGUUGAAUUAGGAAUUGGGUUACCAAUUGGAUUAACCAAAGAGGUUAUAAAUAUUGGUGUUGUGUAACCAUAAGAAUUUGAGCAAAGAAGAAAAUAUGUGUGAGGAAACCUAAACUAAGGUUUCAUUAGUUAUUGUGUAGUUCACUUCUCAAUUAUCAAUAAAGCUAUCUCUCUUUGUCCCGUGGAUGUAGGCAUAUUGUCGAACCACGUAUAUUAUUGUGUUUCCGUAUUUCUGCUUUAGUUUAUAUCUUUUGUGUUUGUUUCUUCAUUAAUCAUAUCAAGAUCCUGUGUAUUUAUCAUAACAUAAUCGACCUCGCUUUUGCCUUUUUACAGGAAACAAGUGAGGUUAAAUUACGGAGAGUCCGAUGAGGAUGGAGAGGUUGUUAGAGUUGGAGAUAGUAGUUAGAGUUGCUCUUAGUUUAGAUAUUUCUUUCAGUUAUCAUUUGUAGCCUUCGUGGCAUUUGUUUAUUCAUUUAUCAGUUUUCGGAUAUUUCAGACACUCUUAUUUCUUUAUUUGAUUCUUUAUAUAGAAAUUUGAUUUGUAGACUUCCGCUGUUGUUUAUUUAUUGUUCUUCCAUAUGUUCUGCAUGGAUAUAAGAAUUCGGCUUGGAUGACACGUGACAGUGAUGGAAUCCUAGGGUCCAUGGUGGACAUAUGGUGCAUAUCACGACUCUGGUGUCUGUGCUUGGUCUGAUCAACUAGGUAUGGAUUUCAGGGGCAUUACAAACAGUAUUGAAGGUGAAUCAUGUGGCUGAUGUUGUGUUGUUUCUUGCUUCUGAUCAAUCUGCCUUUGUUACUGGGCAUGAUUUGGUUGUUGAUGGUGGCUUGCUUUGUCGCGUUGGUUCAAAUAAAUUUUUAGAUGAAAAAUAAUUUGUCAGUCACACAGCUUAAAGAUUUCUGUAUUUUUCUAGCUGAUAUAGUAUGUGAACAAGAAUUGUGUCUAAAUUAAGUUUCAUCUGCGUGCUUUCGUGUUUUCGCGUUUAGUAACAGUGGUUACUGAAUGCUCUAAUAGAUCAUCACUUUUGUUAAACUGUACAUCUGUCUACAGGUGUGCUCCAUUAUUGGUAGCAUCUUAGAUUUUUUGUUUCUAGGGUAGCUAAUCUUGGUGCUUCUAAGAAGAACAAUUAUCAUGAACAAUAAGUGUAAGAGAACUCGUAUAUUCUUGAUUAAAAAUUGAUUGCAGUAACACCUACUUUCUAAAGGUUACAAUGUCUUCAGACUCAAGAAACUAAUCUAUGAUUUGUUCCUUUAACUAGAAUAUAAUUACUUACAUGACUAAUUCUAACUUAAACGUUUCAAGUAAAUUGAAUUUAGCAACUAAGCGCCUCCCAAAGCCUUCCCUUUGAGCAUGGUCCAAUUUUGCCAAGAUAUACAAGUUGAUCCUGAGUCCUGACAUUCACUUAAUAACCCCAUAAAUCUUAUAUCGGCUGCAGAGACUCAUGGCAACAAUUACUUUCAGGUAAUUGUGUGACAGAAUUACAGACUUGCUGGAGGGCUGGGAAAUUGUGAUACAGGACAGAGACUGUUUCCUUUAUUCAUUUAUUGCUUGUACAAAUUACUUUUGAUAAAAACAAAUGAAUAAAUAAAGCAUCUUUAAUCACUUUAAACUUACAAUGAAUGACCAGGCUUGUGCAGUUGUGCCUCUUUUAUGGCUGAAAUUUUUGAAGUCACCAAAUUUUUUCAGUGAAUCCCCUGGUAGUUGUGCGUUUUUGUUGCCUUGGAUAAAACAACUCAUCAAAUACAAACCAAGACAAAAUAUCACAGGCAGAUAGAAAUUAUUUACAAACAAAGGCACAUAUGGAAAAAGAAAAAAACUACAUUUUUCCAUCUCACCCAGUCAAACAAGGCCCAACUUGAGCACCAUCAAUUCAACAAACUAGUGACAGCCAGGAAAAAAAAAAUCACAGAAGCAAACUUACAUUUUCCAUCUCACCCAGUCAAACAAGGCCCAAAGUCAUUCCCCUUGACAAGGUACAUGAAGAAAUUUCCAAGAUAAGCCUACAAAAUGCUGACAAUUCAAAAAUCUGAUAUCUUUUAAAAAGCACAACGUUCUUGACAAACUGAACAGAGGAGCUGUCAGUGUGAUGCUCAUGAGAAAGAAUUCCAUUCAAAGUUUGGUGGUCAUAAUUAGAUCUAGAAUUAUCGAGUCUAUGUCCUUCACUUACUGACUUAGAACAAGAUUACAAGAAUUAUUGAGUAAGGACUAUUCUAUGGUCCUUCACUUAUUGAGUUAGAUCUAAAUUUAUUGACAAGUCUAUGCCCUUAAUAGUUAUUCAGGGAAUUCUGGACUGGAGAUGCAUUUCCAUCAAUUUCUAUAAGUAGAUUGCAUUAUAUAGAGAAAUCAAAUAAGCUUUCUGAGAGAAGAAAAAAUGGAAGUAGCUACUCCUAUGAGCAAAAGACUGGAUGGGAAAGUAGCUAUCAUUACAGGUGGUGCGAGUGGAAUUGGCGAAGCCACUGCACGUUUGUUCGCUAAUGAAGGCGCAAGAAUGGUUGUCAUUGCUGACAUCCAAGACAAACUAGGUGAAUCUGUUGCAUUAUCCAUUGGUGCACAUCAUUGCACUUAUAUCCACUGUGAUGUCUCCGAUGAAAACCAAGUCAAGUCCAUGGUCGAAUUAACUGUCAAGAAUUAUGGACAUCUAGACAUCAUGUUCAGCAACGCAGGAAUUGUAAACCGCAACCAAUCCCUGUUGGACCUCGACUUGUCUUUGAUGGACCGUUUGUUUGCAAUUAAUGUACGUGGCAUGGUAGCAUGUGUGAAGCAUGCUGCACGUGCAAUGGUGGAAGGUCAUAAAGGAGGAAGCAUCAUAUGCACUGCGAGUGUUGCAGGAAAGAUGGGAGGUGACGACGGGAUGCAAGAUUACGCCAUUUCAAAAAAUGCAGUGGUGGCGUUGGUUAGAGCAGGGAGUUGUGAGUUUGGGAAGUAUGGCAUCCGGAUUAAUUGUGUGUCACCAGCUGCAGUUGUUACACCUAUGACGAUGGAGUGGUUUGGGAUUAAGGAUAAGGAGAUUGCUGAGGGAGCAUUUUCAAUUCACAGUAGCUUGAAAGGAACAGUGUUGAAGGUGAAUCACGUGGCUGAUGCUGUGUUGUUUCUUGCUUCUGAUCAGUCUGCUUUUGUUACUGGGCAUGAUUUAAUUGUUGAUGGUGGUAUGAUUUGUCGGAUUGGUUCGGAUAACUUUGUUAGUAACAAAUAAUUCUCAAUCACAGGAAUUCAGCAUAAGACUGUGUGAUAUCUUCUAGCUGAUGUAGUGCGUUAAUAAGAAUCGAGAGUUCAAGGCUAAAGUUUAGUCUAUGUGUUUUCGUGUUUUCAAUUUUAAUUACAGUGAUUAAUAAAGGUUGUAGUAGACCAUCCCUUUUGUUCAUCUCUUUGAUGUCAGACCUUGACAACUUAAAUCAUAAAAUGCUAUGUACGGAAGACAAUAAUCCUGCAAGUCACUUCUCAGAAAUACUAGGUUACAGGUAUGCUCCAAUCUCAAUUAUGUAGCAUGUUAGAUUUUUUGUUUCUACACUAGGUUACCUUUGUCCUUCUUUAAACGUCGACUGCAUCAUACUUGUGUUUCUUCGUGUGCAUUAUUGAUAAAGUAAAUGAUUAAACCCCAAAUAUUAAUCAUACAGAAAUGUCAAACUUUCAAAUAAUUGAAAUCAAACCAACAUGCAAUGUAUUAAUGAUCAAACAGAAAUAUCAACAUAUCAGAUCAAUUAACUAUAAUUCAGUAAAGAAUGAAGAGAAAGGUAACGCAACUCACAAAGUGUUCAUCAUUUAAGGUUCCUGAAUCUCUUCUCUUUUCUUCUCAGCUAGCAUCGGUAAGUCCAGCACCACUAAUAAAUACAAUAUAAUAGUACACCCAAAUGCACCUGCCACGAAAUCGAAUGCAGCCUUUUUCAUUGCUUCCAUUGAAGGAAGAAUCAAUGCUGUUCAACAAGAUUGCCUUCCCCAACACACUCAAAAAAUCCUUUAACAACUGCUGCCACCAUUACCAAUGCCUCAGCUUGACUCUCGAAUCCCAAAUCUCAUUUUCAUAGUAUUAGUUUCUUUUGAAUUCAGCAUUAACAAAUCUUUAUUAAAUGUCGAAGGUAAUCCUUUUAUUGACCAAAAGAGAAAACCAAUUGAUCAAAUUCCAAGCAUUUUCAUCACAGAAAUUGCUGCAAUUCUAGCAUAAUUUCAUAAAAGGAUCUUCACUGUGAGACUUUUGGCGUCCUUAAUGGUGAGUUGAAGGUAUUGAAGAAGAGGGGUUUUGAAUGCUGCAAAUCACCAUUAGUUUGUAGUAGUAGUAGUAGUAGAGAGAGAGAGAGAGGGUUUAGGGCUUUUGCAGCAGAGGUGCUUGAUAAAAUCCCAUUCCGAUAUAUACCAUCUGGAUGUUAUGGGACUUAUGGCUCACCAGAUUCGAUGAUGUUAUUUAAAGGUGUUUCACCAAACUUGGACAAAGUCUGCACUCUGCAGCAACAUCAAGUCCUUACUCUGGUUUUGGAUCGGAGGGAAAGCUGCUAACAGAGAUUUAUACAUAUGGGUACCUGCUAAGAAAUUGGGAGAUGGUGCUGUUUGUACCUUUUAUUGUUCUUUGUAUUGCUCAACUCAAGCGCGGUGUGAAAGGAAGCAUGUGUGUACUACAGGUGUCAGUUGGGCUCAGCUAGUAAAACCUCUGGGUGAUGAUACCAGAGGUCUAGGGUUCGAAUCCCACCAGUAUUACCGAGUUACUGAUCUCAUUAAAAACAGGCUUACCAAACCAUUUUGCGAAUGAGCCUGUGGCUCAAUGGUUGCACCCCUCUCACAAAGUGGAGAGGUCGUGGGUUCGAAACAUGUCAACAUCGGAUUGUUGAUAUAAGUUUCCACACGUAAUUUAAAAGGGGUAGGGACCCUCAACCUCGCUUGCCAACCAAAAAAAAAAAAUGUUGGAGGACGGAAAAAGAAGUGAUGAGGGCAUGCAACAUGCAAGACUACAUCAUGUAAAAUAAAAAACGCAGUGCUGGAGUUGUGAGUUGGGGAAGUAUAGGAUCCGAAUUAAUUGUAUUUAAUCAAGUCCAGUUGUUACAUGGAGUACGAAAUUCUUUAGCUCAGGGAAGAGACAAUUAUUUGAGCUGGCCUGUACUAUAUUACAGCUACAAUGGAUCUCAAAUCAACAAUUCCUUGAAUUUAUAAUGCGUACGAAUCUUAGAUAGUUAGAUAUGGCUAGCUGUUGCCAACUUCAAUUGCCAGAAUAGGCAAACAACUAGCAUAUUAUUAGAAUUAUUAACUGGAGGUUGCAAUUCCAAACCAAACCAAUAAUUAAGAGGAAAUUAUGGACUGGAAGGAAUGUACUUCCAUCAGUUCCUAUAAGUAACUUGCAUAUCAAUAUGCACUAUGACAAAAGCCUUUUGAGAGAAGAAAAAAAAUGGAAGUAGCAACUCCUACAACUACAAGUAAAAAACUGGAAGGGAAAGUAGCUAUCAUUACAGGUGGUGCGAGUGGAAUUGGUGAAGCUACUGCACGUUUGUUCGCAAAUGAAGGCGCCCGAAUGGUUGUCAUUGCCGACAUCCAAGAUGAAGUAGGCCAAUCUGUUGCUUCAUCCAUCGGCGCAAAUCAUUGCACUUACAUCCACUGUGAUGUCACUGAUGAAAAUCAAGUCAAGUCUAUGGUCGAAUCAACAGUCCAGAAUUAUGGACAUCUAGACAUCAUGUUCAGCAAUGCAGGAACUGUAAAUCGCAACCAACCCCUCUUGGAGCUCAACCUGUCAUUGAUGGACCGUUUGUUUGCUGUCAAUGUACGUGGCAUGGCAGCAUGUGUAAAGCAUGCUGCACGUGCAAUGGUGGAAGGUGGGAAAGGAGGAAGCAUCGUCUGCACUGCGAGUGUUGGAGGAAAAAAGGGAAGUGAUGAUGGGCUGCAAGACUACAUCAUCUCAAAAAAUGCAGUGGUGGGGUUGGUUAGAACAGGGAGUUGUGAGUUGGGGAAGUAUGGCAUCCGAGUUAAUUGUGUGUCACCAGCUGCAGUCGCUACACCUAUGACGCUGGAGUGCUUUGGGAUCAAGGAUAAGGAGAGUGCUGAGGAAGCAUUUUCAAUUCACAGUAGCUUGAAAGGAAAAGUGUUGAAGGUGA